rnacentral:rRNA from 1 species
UACGGGGGGGGUAAGCGUUGUUCGGAAUUACUGGGCGUAAAGGGCGCGUAGGCGGCCUUCUAAGUCGAACGUGAAAUCCCUGGGCUCAACCCAGGAACUGCGUCCGAUACUGGAAGGCUUGAAUCCGGGAGAGGGAUGCGGAAUUCCAGGUGUAGCGGUGAAAUGCGUAGAUAUCUGGAGGAACACCGGUGGCGAAGGCGGCAUCCUGGACCGGUAUUGACGCUGAGGCGCGAAAGCGUGGGGAUCAAACAGG